GCACUGCUUUGGUGGUUGGAUUUGGUCGCUCCGAUUUUGGGAAUUCACAGAAGGAAAACAUUACAUAACUUAAAGUAAGCAAAAACGCAAAGAUUUUUCCAGUGAAGAACUUCCUUGUCGCAAGUUCUCUCAUCCGUCGUGGAGACUUCAUAUGAUUGACGUUUCUUUGCGUGUGUAGCUCUCUCCAUAGAAAGUUCAGCGGUACGGCAGUGAGCUCCCUUCACUGAAAUUAUGUUAAGUGACGGCGUCUCUCUUGUUUUCUGCUGCACUGUAGCUUUGCAGCUGCUGAUCCAUUCCCUGCAUAUGUCCUGGCCAGUCUUGAUAAUCCUCCGUGACUUGUUGAAAACCAAACAGGCGUUCUUCUUCGAGUGACAGUAAACCAGGAUUUUGGCUGCUCGACUUCUAGUUCUUUGUCUUCCUCGACGAUCCUUACAUUAUCCAUGGCGGCGAUGUAACGAAACGAAGAACCAUCUCUUCCGAGCUCUAGCAUCAAAGUAACCAUGAGAUUCCAGAAAUCAUCAGCUACGUUGAGUUCAUUGUGGAGAUUCGAAUAAAAAAACCUAGACUUACUUCACAGUAGUAUGAUCAAACUAUUCCCAGAGUGCUGCUUGCCUGUAGACAUGUUCA
rnacentral:lncRNA from 1 species